AGCGCUAUCGUCGAGUGGUAAGACAGCACGUUGCAGUUCGUUAUCGGUAAAGCAACAUACGUGUAAACGACGGUUCGAUCCCGUCUGGCGCUG